CCUACGGGAGGCAGCAGUGGGGAAUAUUGCACAAUGGGGGAAACCCUGAUGCAGCAACGCCGCGUGAGUGAUGACGGUCUUCGGAUUGUAAAACUCUGUCUUUAGGGACGAUAAUGACGGUACCUAAGGAGGAAGCCACGGCUAACUACGUGCCAGCAGCCGCGGUAAU
rnacentral:rRNA from 1 species